AUACGUAGGUGACAAGCGUUAUCCGGAUUUACUGGGCGUAAAGGGCGUGUAGGCGGUCUUGCAAGUCAGAAGUGAAAUUCCUGAGCUCAACUCGGGCGCUGCUUCUGAAACUGCAGGACUUGAGUGCUGGAGGGGAUAGCGGAAUUCCUAGUGGAGCGGUAAAAUGCGCAGAUAUUAGGAAGAACACCGGUGGCGAAGGCGGCUAUCUGGACAGUAACUGACGCUGGGGCGCGAAAGCGUGGGGAGCAAACAGGAUUAGAUCCCCUGGUAUUCCACGCCGUAAACGAUGAAUACUAGGUGUAGGGGGUAUCGACUCCCUCUGUGCCGCAGUUAACACAAUAAGUAUUCCGCCUGGGGAGUACGGCCGCAAGGUUGAAACUCAAAGGAAUUGACGGGG
rnacentral:rRNA from 1 species